UACGUAGGUGGCAAGCGUUGUCCGGAUUUACUGGGCGUAAAGAGCGCGCAGGCGGUUAUUCAAGUCGAAUGUGAAAGCCCCCGGCUUAACUGGGGAGGGUCAUUCGAUACUGUUUAACUUGAAGGCAGGAGAGGGUAGUGGAAUUCCCGGUGUAGUGGUGAAAUGCGUAGAUAUCGGGAGGAACACCAGUGGCGAAGGCGGCAUCCUGGACCGGCAUUGACGCUGAGGCGCGAAAGCCAGGGGAGCAAACGGG
rnacentral:rRNA from 1 species